AAACCACCAGAAGCUUGACAAGAGGCAUGGAGCAGAGGCUUCCUCACAGCCGUCAGAAGGAACCAACCCGCCAACCCCUUGAUCUCAGAUUUCUGGCCUCCAGAACCACGAGUCAGCAGAUUUCCAUGGCUUGAGCCGCCCGGUUUGUAGUACUUCAUUAUGGCAGCUCCAGCAAACAAAUACAGAUUUAUGACCUCGUCUACCUGACGAGGAUGCCUGGCCCAAGCUGGCAUACUAAGAGUUUUCCUGGAACUUGGGAAUGGGGACAAAGAGGGACUAAGCCAGCAAGACCGAAAAGCGUGGCAGUCCCAGGACAGCCAUGAAAACCAUAUGUGAAUUAAUGAGUGAGCAGAUUGGAGCAGCAAAUAAUUAUUGGCGCUUCCUUCAUGCAAAGCAUUGUUUUGGACCCUAAGGACGUCAUGUACAAAAUGCACUUAAAUCCUUGCCCUCCUGGAGCUGAUGAUAAAGAAGAUGGACAAGUAAAACAUAUGGGAUGUGAAAUGGUGAUAAGAGUGAUGGAGAAAAUAAAACAGGAGAGGAGGUUGGAAUUGCCAGGCUUCACAUUCAGCUUCUGUUUCCUGAGUGCCUCCACUAUCAAGCCAUUGGGCCAGGCAUCCAGAAGCCCUAAGGCAGACCUCAUCAUCCCUGUUCUACAGGAAAGGAAAACCAAGACUUGGCUACUACAGUAUACAAAGGGUGUGAAAAAGUCCUCCUAGAACCCUUACCCUGCUUCCAGGAGGAGCUGGACAGUCCUUUCCGAGUCCAGGCAGAAAGGAGUCUCCUCUUUUUCCAUUCUCUUUGUUACUUUAUAUGCCUGUGCAGGCUUGGUUGAGGAAGAAGGGGGGCCAGAAGGAAGUCUGGCCAGAUGGCAGGGUAAUAAAUGACUCUGAUUUAAUAAUUUGUUGCUCUCCUCUUAAUUAAAAGGCUUUUCCCUAAAUGAUUUGCUGAUCACACAAACAGCACACACUAGUUGGGCGAGGACUGGGGGCCCAGGGAAAUCUAGACUGAGAGGAGAAGGCAUUGAAAUAAAGAGGUGGCAGAUGGCAGAAGAAGCCCACCCUCCAUGUGCCAGGGUGGGCCCAGCUUCAGGAGCUCCCUCCUCCUCAGGUCUGAAACAA